rnacentral:lncRNA from 12 species
UUUUUUUUUUUUUAAGAAAAGAAAGGAAUUUCUAAUACUCGCUUCUAAUUUUUCUUGCUAGCUUUUAAUUGCAAAUGCACAGUAUUUCGGCUCCAUUUGGAUCCAAUCGAUUUUUGACCACCGUCCAAGAAGCCUUACAGCCAUUGUUUCUAUGAGAAAAUGUAUAUUGAGUUCCAAAAGCUCGAAAGAAGUCUUGGAACGGUGCCCAGGGAAGCAAGUCAAGUCUCCCAAAACAUGUUUAUCAUGUAUAAUGUGGUAAUAGGAGUUGGGGAAGAAAAGUAUGAAGAAUAUGUGAUGAUGCAUCCUUUAUACUGAGGGCUGAAAUUGAUUCUGCGUGUGUUUCAUUCCCACGCACACAGGAGGAGAAAUUCUCAGCAGUGCCUACGUUAGUCCAUCUCAAGUAAGUGGCCAAGGAACUUCCCCUGCUCAGAUUACCUAAAUUGAGUGGUGCUGUUUGCCGAGAAGAGCAAACAGCAAGAAGAGCCUCAAAGCCAAGCUCCUGGGAUAUAAGGAUAUCAACCUCCUAGAAUGACAAAGAGGUAAAGGGGGAAAAAAUCAUGGGGGGUUGAGGGGAGCCAGUGCUUGUUCAAAAAUAUUUCCAGAGGCUAGGCAUGCUCCUAGGAAUAUAGACGUACACAUUGUUUUUUCUUGAGGAGAUGGAGCCAGUCACCCUGUUGGAAGAGCUCUGACAAAGGCAGCUCACCAGAAUGUGAGCGAGCACAGCAGUCCCCCUUUGCCCAUGGUUUCAGUUCCCUGCUGUCAACCUUGGUCCAGAAGCAGAUGCUCCUCCCUUGACUUAGCGUCAGAAGGCCAACAGUAGCCUAAUGCUAGAUCACAGUCAGUGCCUACGUCAUCCCCCUCACUUCGUGGCAUCCCGUGGGCAUUUUAUCAUCUCACAUCAUCACAAGAAGGGUGAGUCCAGUAUGAUAAGAAAUUUUGAUAGAGAGGCCACAUUCACAUAGCAUUUAGUACAGUCUUUUUUGUAACUGCUCUGUUUUCUUAUUAGUCAUUGUUGUUAACCUCUUAUGGGCCUCAUUUAUAUAUUAAACUCUUUUUUUAA